CGUACCUAAAAGAACUUCCGCCCUUACUAAACUACGGUCCCCGGAUACAUCCGCCCGGCAUUGAACGUUUUUGCGCGCCUGUUCACGGUCGCCCACAUCGAGGCUGCUUUAGCCUGGCUUCCGCCCUUAGUAAGACGUUAGUAUGUUCCUGCGACAGAGUGACUGCUAAAGAGAUGGAGACAGAAAGUACCAGAAUUACUUGGAGGGGCUUUCCCAACCCUUAUCUGGUCUCUACGUAGCUGACAUUCCACUAAUCAUUUGCCCUUGCCUCUCGUCUCAAGCCAAUCAAAUGAAGACCACUUUUGAAACAGGCCAAGGAAGCCAGCACUGGCUCUCCUAGAUGACGCCCACAGCACCUGAAUACAUGUACUGGUCACCUGAACCAGUGGAUCCUUCCUGCUCUGAAGCUAUCCAACAAUAUCAAAUAAGGAGGUCUCUCCCCAAAUUAAGCCAUCUUUGUAAACUGGGCAUCAAAGGGGAUGGGAUGAUUCUUGUGUUCUUCUCAUUUCAGAAUUUUUGAGAUCAGCUAAGACCAAGACAACAAGUUCCCUCUGAGAAAACAGUAUCAUUUGCUCUCAUCUCUGUAUUAAUCCGUUCACUAAAAUCACAGUAACUUGAUAACCAA
rnacentral:lncRNA from 1 species